UACAGAGGGUGCGAGCGUUAAUCGGAAUUACUGGGCGUAAAGCGUGCGUAGACGGUUAUUUAAGUCGGGUGUGAAAGCCCCGGGCUCAACCUGGGAAUUGCAUUCGAGACUGAAUAGCUAGGGUACGGUAGAGGGAAACGGAAUUUCCGGUGUAGCGGUGAAAUGCGUAGAUAUCUGGAGGAACACCGGUGGCGAAGGCGGCAUCCUGGACCACGACUGACGCUGAGUGAGCGAAAGCCAGGGGAGCAAACGGG
rnacentral:rRNA from 1 species